rnacentral:misc_RNA from 1 species
UUUCCGUAGGUGAACCAGCGGAGGGAUCAUUAUUGUACAAUCGAGGUGCGAGGCCUUUCGCUGACCUGAUAGGUCGUGCACGCCCGAGUGCCCUCACACACAGCGAUCUCACGCCUAUUUGCACCACUCCGUGGGACCCGCUGAUGCAUGUGCGGGGGGGGGCUUACGUGUUAACACAAACUUCAUAUGCAGUGUUGGAUGUAUUAUCUGUGUUUGCGAAAGCGGAAUCAAAACAACUUUCAAUAACGGAACUCUUGACUCUCGCAUCGAGGAAGCACG